rnacentral:rRNA from 1 species
UACAGAGGUGGCAAGCGUUGUUCGGAAUUACUGGGCGUAAAGGGUGCGUAGGCGGCGAGGUAAGUCGGAUGUGAAAUCCCGGGGCUCAACCCCGGAACUGCAUUCGAUACUGCUUUGCUUGAGUACUGGAGAGGAGACUGGAAUUUACGGUGUAGCAGUGAAAUGCGUAGAUAUCGUAAGGAAGACCAGUGGCGAAGGCGAGUCUCUGGACAGUUACUGACGCUGAGGCACGAAGGCCAGGGGAGCAAACGGG